CCUCGUCUCAUGAUUUUAUACUGUUGUACUGACCUUCAUGUUUGUAAGGUUCAAAUCGUUAGUAAUGCUUCACUACCUAUAAUUUCCUCAUUUUUGUUUCAAGUCUACAUGAAAUGAUGUGUAGCUUAGUACACUUUUUAAAAGUUUUGUUAUUAUUGAGGACAAUAGUUCAAAUGAUUGUUUUGUAACACAUACUUCAACACUGUUCUGUUAUUCAGAUCGUCCACUUCCUGUAAAAGUCUCUGCCCAAGAAGGUACUGUUAUAUUUUUACCAAUUAUCUAUAUCACGUGGUGAGAAACUAAUACUUCACAGUGCAUAAGUCAUUGAUAACAUCUAAAGACAUUAAGAAACAAAAAACCUGUAACAUCAGCUAUAAAUCAAAAUGUGCAUAUUGUACACUGUACAAAAUUUAGUAUUAAAAAGAUAAAUGCUGCUGCAGAUGCAGUGUUAUAUUGUCUGUUUUCUUAAUUUUAUUUAUAUUGUCUGUUGCCUAAAUUAUAUUAAGAGUGAUGAGCAAUUUCCUGUAAAUGGCGUAUAAAUUGAGGGUUCUUUGUUGACAGCUUUCAAAGUAAAUAUAUUCUUUUUAUUGACUGUAAAAACAUCUAUCAUUUUUUUAAAUAU
rnacentral:lncRNA from 1 species